UACGUAGGGGGCUAGCGUUGUCCGGAUUUAUUGGGCGUAAAGAGCGUGUAGGCGGUUAGGUAGGUCCGUUGUGAAAACUCGAGGCUCAACCUCGAGACGCCGAUGGAAACCAUCUGACUAGAGUCCGGAAGAGGAGAGUGGAAUUCCUGGUGUAGCGGUGAAAUGCGCAGAUAUCAGGAAGAACACCCGUGGCUAAGGCGGCUCUCUAGUACGGUACUGACGCUGAGACGCGAAAGCGUGGGGAGCGAACAGG
rnacentral:rRNA from 1 species